UGUUGGAAGUGGGGUGGCAGGAGAGCAGGAGUUUGCCAUGAAGUCCGUGGGCACGAGGACCACCCUGCCCCGAGCCCCUCCUCUAUCUCGCCGUUGCCCUACCGACCGCAGCUGCAGCGCUGAACGACUGCCACGCCCUCCAGCGACCAUUUCAGAUGGGACGGCAUCAAGCGAUGAACGCAGGAGCAUUAGUAUCGGGACAGCGAUCUGCACUGACCGACCCACUGAAACAGCCUCCUCUACCAACACUGAAUGCACCAUGACGGCCCAAUCCAACAACAACCAGUUGGACUGCGGCACCGCAGCUGUCAGGAGGGAGUGGGAAAGGGAGAGGCAGCGUGAGAGGGGGAGAGACCGGGACCGGGAUCGAGACUGGGACCGGGAGAGGUUAGAGAGGGAGCGUGAGAGGGAAAGGAACCGGGAGAGGGAGCGUGAGCGAGUGGAGAGGGAAAGGCUGGAACGUGAGAGGGAGCGAGAGAGGGAGAGAGCCAGGGAGAGGGAGAGAGAACGGAUUGAGAGGGAAAAGAUAGAAAGAGAGAGGGAACGAGAGAGGGAGAGAGAACGAGAGCGAGAAAGGGAGAGGCUGGAGAAUGAGAGGAUGGAGAGGGAGAGAGAGAGAGAGAGGGAAAUGCAGGUGGCAGGUUUGGAUGUUUGUGGGAACAUUGUUGGUCGGGAGAAGACCAGCGUUGGCGUGAACCACCACCCGCACAGAGAGAUGGCUGCAACCAGAACUGAUAAUGAAAACAACCCAGUGGGCCACAACCCUCCAAACCACAACCCGCCCAAGAUCAUGGCAGUGUCCGGAAAACUGGAGCAGGUACAUCCACAUCUAGGACAGCAACCCGAAGGUCUGCCCUUUAAGGGGGAGUAGCAGUAGUAGUCAGUGUCAUACCUGCAGAAGAAAACAGGCAGGAGGAUCUCAGUUUGGAGAAUCAUGCCUCAUUUACACCGAGUACAGAAUGAAUUUGGUCCGGUGUCCGGACGGCUUCUGACAGCCAUAUACGCUGACGUCUCCCGCGAGAGCACCAUAACUCGGGGGUUCACACAAGUUCACGUUACAAAUUUGACAUAAGAUAUAAGAGUUCUGUGAUCUGUGGACUGAUGUCGCUGUCAAAAGAAAUGCAACACGGGUUUCAUCUUGAAAUAAACGGGAUGCACCACAAUAACACAUGCCUCACCUCCUUUCUGGCUCAUGUAAUUUCUUUAAUUUCUUCACAAUCUGCAUGUGGUGUUCAGAAUUAUUAGACUCCAUGUGGAAACUUCCCAGAGCUCUGCAUCGGGAUCUGCAGCCUGUUUGAAGGCAGUGAUUGGACUCAGUGAGUUUUGGUCUUUGCAGAAGCCGCAUGGAAAACGGACUGCAUCAGUACUCGGUGGGAAUGAGGCGAAAUCAGGGAGGCCUUCCAAUUUUCAGCCUUUCAGGGACACAGCUAGCAACAAAGUCCAGCAAAUUUUUGAUACUAGUUUUUUUGGUACUGUUGUUUGUGGAUCUGCUCGGGGUCCAGAAGGAAACAUGUCAUCCCCCAGAGACUUGGACCCGUGCCCGAUGUACUUUAGACCCAAUUUUUUGUUAUAUGAUACAAAGUCACUCAAAUUUUUCAUUGAUGACAUUACUUUAUUCAUUUUCAUCAACAUUUCGAUGGAUAUUUCCAGAGAUUAUUAGCGCUAGACAAUUUUUGUUAUUAAUUAGAAAAAAAAAUUUAAACGACACAAAUUAUUACAGAACAUUUUGAAAUUAUGUUACAUAGCUGUAACAUAACCCUCAGAUAGUUUAUAGUUUAUAAUACUUAAACAGCAUAAAGCAAGCACAUCCCCAGUGAGUCGUGGAGGAUGGCUGCUUAUACUGAGCCAGGAUUCUCUGGAGGUUUCUUCCUGUUAAAAGGGAGUUUUCCUCUCCACUGUCGCUGCAUGCUUGCUUAGUAUGAGGAUUGCUGUA
ensembl:lncRNA